GAUGAACGCUAGCGGCAGGCUUAACACAUGCAAGUCGAGGGGUAGAGGCUUUCGGGCCUUGAGACCGGCGCACGGGUGCGUAACGCGUAUGCAAUCUGCCUUUCACAGAGGGAUAGCCCAGAGAAAUUUGGAUUAAUACCUCAUAGCAUAACACAACCGCAUGGUUGAGUUAUUAAAGUCACAACGGUGAAAGAUGAGCAUGCGUCCCAUUAGUUAGUUGGUAAGGUAACGGCUUACCAAGACUUCGAUGGGUAAGGGUCCUGAGAGGGAGAUCCCCCACACUGGUACUGAGACACGGACCAGACUCCUACGGGAGGCAGCAGUGAGGAAUAUUGGUCAAUGGGCGCAAGCCUGAACCAGCCAUGCCGCGUGCAGGAUGACGGUCCUAUGGAUUGUAAACUGCUUUUGUACGAGAAGAAACACUCCUUCGUGAAGGAGCUUGACGGUAUCGUAAGAAUAAGGAUCGGCUAACUCCGUGCCAGCCGCCGCCGUAA
rnacentral:rRNA from 1 species